CUGGCAGCGUUGAGUUAGUAGGCAAGUCGCCACACUGCCGUUCCAAAUAAUCCCCUCUUUUUUUUCCAAAUAAGUGACCAGUUUCUGUAUUUGCGUGAGAAAAUGCUAUUUUAUCGGUUAUACAGAAAGCGAUAGUUGCGCCUCCAAUCGCACGUUUACCGUCGUAAUUUGCUAGCCGCGGAAGCAGAGCUUUCAUAACUUUAUAAUGGAAUUUUAUUCAUUAGUAAACACUCGGCUUCAACAGUCUUCCAUUUGGCUCAUAUAGGCGCCUUUUUUUUUUUUUUUUUUUUCGUUGCUGGCGCGCUGUUUGAAUAGUUGAAUAAAAGCAAUUGAGAAUCAAGACGAUGUUUGAAUUCAGACAGAAAAUGAGUUUAGUUCAUUUGUUACUCAUCAUAUGCCCUAUUUGUUACGCAACGCCCUACUGUUGUCAACAGCCAUAUGAAUAUACAGACUUUUUUGCGAUGCUAGAAUGUAAUUUAUUCAUUUGUAGAUAUAGAAAAGAAGAUCCUGGAUCUAAAUGUUGUGAAGGUUCAGGUAAAAAAAUGAGUAAAAAUAACACAGAUACAUAUGAAAAUAUCUUUCAAAUUACAAAGCCUCAUUUGAUCUGUCAGACUCUGGAAAGGAGACAAAGGACUGUGACUGGACACAUAGUGCUCGCUUGGUCUGUGCUUAAAGUGACGGAAACAUCUCCAAUUUUUGCAGUAGAGUCAAGGCAUACAAAUGAUGACAACUGGCAUUUGAUUGGAAUGGCCAAUGAAACAGUAGCAGAGAUAAGAAACCUCACUCUUGGAGAAAAAUACCAAUUUCAAGUGACUCCCCUUAUGUUCAGUGAUUUCAUAUUACAACCUGUAAAGUCAGAAUGGUUUACAAUACCUGCUAUAGGAUCCACCAUAAGUGCACCUGUAAAUGUACAUAUAUCUAGGUUUUCUCUGGUAGAUAAACGUGUUAAUGCUUUUGUGGAAUGGAAACCAUCUAAAGAAUUGCCUUGUGUAUACAGACUGCAUUUGUUACCUUCAAAUAAUCAUGAAGAUUAUGAUAAAAAAACAAUAUACUUGCCUAAAGAUAACUUGACUGCAGAUUUGGUUAGUUUGCUAUUUGAGACAAACUAUACACUUGUAGUAACUGGAUUGGAAAUGAGUGGCAUGCGAGGAGCUGCGAAAAAUGAGAGGUGGUUUGCUACACCAUCAUGCCUUAAGCUGACUGAAGGGAACUUCAGCCUUUGUGCACCUGGUUUUCCUCGAAACUUUACUGCUGAUUGGUAUCCAAUUACAUCUGAAGCUGUGCUGCGCUGGUUACCUCCUAAAUAUACUUCUGAAAAGAAUCCAGUAAAAUAUUACUAUCUUUCAGUUUCUGAACUUGGUGGGGUAGACCACCAUAUGAAUUUAGUUUUAGACUAUUGGCAUUUAAACACCACAAUUUCUGGUCUUAAGUAUAAUUCACAUUAUGUCUUUGAAUUAAAAGCUGUGAGUAUAGGAGGAAGUGGAAAAGCUACUGUGGUUAAAAUGAUAACAAGAAAAUUAAAAUCUAAGAAUAUUUCACAUUGGACAGAUAUACUUAAGUACAUUAUCCCACUUGUGCUAUUUUUGCUUCUGACCAUUGCUGGAUGUUUUUAUUUUUUAAAUAGGAGAAAACUUCUAGUGAAGGAAAAGUUUGUGGCAAAGCGUUCUGGUACUGCUGAUGUUCCUGCCCAUUUGCUGCCUUUCUUAUUACCUCUGAACAAAAUCGAAUUGUUGGAACCUCUAGGAGAAGGAGCAUUUGGUAUUGUUCAUAAAGGCAUCUUUCACAAGGGCAAAGACGAAGAACCAGUAGCAGUUAAAACAUUUAGAUCAGACAGCAUUACAAGGCAUCAAUUGCUUGAAGAAGUAGCUAUUCUGCAGGAUAUUGGAAGGCAUAACAGAAUUAUCAAACUUAUUGGAUUCACUUUGGACAUAGAUAGGAUGUAUUUACUUCUAGAAUUAUGUCCACUAGGAGAUUUACGCACUUGGCUUCUCAAUGUAUAUGAAAAGGUAAAGUACGAAAUUGAUCGUUGUACAAAAUUUCCAGUUACAGAUCGACCUCGACAAUACCCAAGUGUUGUGCGCAGUAGUUCCUUCUUAUCAUUUUCAAAAUGCUCUGCUUCUUAGGUUGGCAUAUAGUGGCUACACUGGUGGGAGCAGAAACAUCGCUUUAAUGUCACCAUCUUGAAUUUCCUCUGCAUCAUAUGUUGGAGCAUUAUCUAGCAACAAAACAGCUUUUCUGAAGCAAACACGUAAUUAUGGGAAAAAAUUAGGCAUAUUUAUUUACCAAGUUGCUGAAGGCAUGGAAUAUUUAUCUUCUCUCAAAAUGAUUCACAGAGAUAUAGCUGCUCGUAAUAUUUUGUUAGAGACUGAAAAUUCU
rnacentral:misc_RNA from 1 species